GGCCUAACAUAUGCAAGUCGAACGGUAACAGGAAGAAGCUUGCUGCUUUGCUGACGAGUGGCGGACGGGUGAGUAAUGUCUGGGAAACUGCCUGAUGGAGGGGGAUAACUACUGGAAACGGUAGCUAAUACCGCAUAACGUCGCAAGACCAAAGAGGGGGACCUUCGGGCCUCUUGCCAUCGGAUGUGCCCAGAUGGGAUUAGCUAGUAGGUGGGGUAACGGCUCACCUAGGCGACGAUCCCUAGCUGGUCUGAGAGGAUGACCAGCCACACUGGAACUGAGACACGGUCCAGACUCCUACGGGAGGCAGCAGUGGGGAAUAUUGCACAAUGGGCGCAAGCCUGAUGCAGCCAUGCCGCGUGUAUGAAGAAGGCCUUCGGGUUGUAAAGUACUUUCAGCGGGGAGGAAGGCGAUAAGGUUAAUAACCUUGUCGAUUGACGUUACCCGCAGAAGAAGCACCGGCUAACUCCGUGCCAGCAGCCGCGGUAAUACGGAGGGUGCAAGCGUUAAUCGGAAUUACUGGGCGUAAAGCGCACGCAGCGGUCUGUCAGUCGGAUGUGAAAUCCCCGGCUCAACCUGGGAACUGCAUU
rnacentral:rRNA from 1 species